CCAAACCUGUCAGCAAUUCUACAAAAUUAAACAUUAUCUGGCAAUAUAUUUACAUACAUAUAACACGAAACCUGCUAGCCUAAUAACACUAAAAAAGAAACAUAUUGCCUUCCAGAACAACAAACUCUUCAAGCUAGCAUUCCAAAAAGUUCAUAGACUACACACCGAAAGAAAAAGACAAACCUUUUACUUUGAUAAUUA
rnacentral:lncRNA from 1 species